UGGGGAAUAUUGCACAAUGGGGGAAACCCUGAUGCAGCCAUGCCGCGUGUGUGAAGAAGGCCUUCGGGUUGUAAAGCACUUUCAGUUGUGAGGAAAAGUUAGUAGUUAAUACCUGCUAGCCGUGACGUUAACAACAGAAGAAGCACCGGCUAACUCCGUGCCAGCAGCCGCGGUAAUACGGAGGGUGCGAGCGUUAAUCGGAAUUACUGGGCGUAAAGCGCACGCAGGCGGUUUGUUAAGCUAGAUGUGAAAGCCCCGGGCUCAACCUGGGAUGGUCAUUUAGAACUGGCAGACUAGAGUCUUGGAGAGGGGAGUGGAAUUCCAGGUGUAGCGGUGAAAUGCGUAGAUAUCUGGAGGAACAUCAGUGGCGAAGGCGACUCCCUGGCCAAAGACUGACGCUCAUGUGCGAAAGUGUGGGUAGCGAACAGG
rnacentral:rRNA from 1 species